rnacentral:rRNA from 1 species
GACGAACGCUGGCGGCGUGCUUAACACAUGCAAGUCGAGCGGUAAGGCCCUUUCGGGGGUACACGAGCGGCGAACGGGUGAGUAACACGUGGGUGACCUGCCCUCAGCUCUGGGAUAAGCCUGGGAAACUGGGGUCUAAUACCGGAUAUGACUCCAUGACGCAUGUUGUGGGGUGAAAGCCUUGUGCGGCUGAGGAUGGGCCCGCGGCCUAUCAGCUUGUUGGUGGGGNGAUGGCCUACCAAGGCGACGACGGGUAGCCGGCCUGAGAGGGCGACCGGCCACACUGGGACUGAGACACGGCCCAGACUCCUACGGGAGGCAGCAGUGGGGAAUCUUGCGCAAUGGGCGAAAGCCUGACGCAGCGACGCCGCGUGA